AGAGUUUGAUCCCUGGCUCAGGACGAACGCUGGCGGCGUGCUUAACACAUGCAAGUCGAGCGGUGAACCCUUCGGGGGGAUCAGCGGCGAACGGGUGAGUAACACGUGAGCAACCUGCCCCUGACUCUGGGAUAGCCUCGGGAAACCGGGAUUAAUACCGGAUAUGACAUCGCCUCGCAUGGGGUGGUGUGGAAAGUUUUUCGGUCAGGGAUGGGCUCGCGGCCUAUCAGCUUGUUGGUGGGGUGAUGGCCUACCAAGGCGACGACGGGUAGCCGGCCUGAGAGGGUGACCGGCCUCACUGGGACUGAGACACGGCCCAGACUCCUACGGGAGGCAGCAGUGGGGAAUAUUGCGCAAUGGGCGAAAGCCUGACGCAGCGACGCCGCGUGAGGGAUGAAGGCCUUCGGGUUGUAAACCUCUUUCAGCAGGGAAGAAGCGAAAGUGACGGUACCUGCAGAAGAAGCACCGGCUAACUACGUGCCAGCAGCCGCGGUAAUACGUAGGGUGCAAGCGUUGUCCGGAAUUAUUGGGCGUAAAGAGCUCGUAGGCGGUUUGUCGCGUCUGCUGUGAAAACGCGGGGCUCAACUCUCGCGCCUGCAGUGGGUACGGGCAGACUAGAGUGCAGUAGGGGAGACUGGAAUUCCUGGUGUAGCGGUGGAAUGCGCAGAUAUCAGGAGGAACACCGAUGGCGAAGGCAGAUCUCUGGGCCGUUACUGACGCUGAGGAGCGAAAGGGUGGGGAGCAAACAGGCUUAGAUACCCUGGUAGUCCACCCCGUAAACGUUGGGAACUAGUUGUGGGGUCCAUUCCACGGAUUCCGUGACGCAGCUAACGCAUUAAGUUCCCCGCCUGGGGAGUACGGCCGCAAGGCUAAAACUCAAAGGAAUUGACGGGGACCCGCACAAGCGGCGGAGCAUGCGGAUUAAUUCGAUGCAACGCGAAGAACCUUACCAAGGCUUGACAUAUACGAGAACGGGCCAGAAAUGGUCAACUCUUUGGACACUCGUAAACAGGUGGUGCAUGGUUGUCGUCAGCUCGUGUCGUGAGAUGUUGGGUUAAGUCCCGCAACGAGCGCAACCCUCGUUCUAUGUUGCCAGCACGUAAUGGUGGGAACUCAUGGGAUACUGCCGGGGUCAACUCGGAGGAAGGUGGGGAUGACGUCAAAUCAUCAUGCCCCUUAUGUCUUGGGCUUCACGCAUGCUACAAUGGCCGGUACAAAGGGCUGCAAUACCGCGAGGUGGAGCGAAUCCCAAAAAGCCGGUCCCAGUUCGGAUUGAGGUCUGCAACUCGACCUCAUGAAGUCGGAGUCGCUAGUAAUCGCAGAUCAGCAACGCUGCGGUGAAUACGUUCCCGGGUCUUGUACACACCGCCCGUCAAGUCAUGAAAGUCGGUAACACCUGAAGCCGGUGGCCUAACCCUUGUGGAGGGAGCCGUCGAAGGUGGGAUCGGUAAUUAGGACUAAGUCGUAACAAGGUAACCGUA
rnacentral:rRNA from 1 species